AAAAAAAGAAGAAGAAGAAGAAAAAAA
rnacentral:sRNA from 1 species